UGGAAAGCUCAUCUGGCUGUGGCAGUUUGUGCCUGAAUGAGAGAAAAGUGCCCUAGAAGCUAUUCAUUAGGAAUUCACUGGAAGCUCUCAAACAAGCCUGGCAGAAGCUGAAAUUGAAGUGGUCUCUGACCUAAUUUUCUUCUGCAUGAAACAUCUGCAUCAAGGCACUCUUUGAUGUAUUCCACUUGGCUCUGUCUACAGUAUUGUAUCACAUGGCUUCAGCAUUGCCUCAGUUUUAAAAGACAUUUCCAGCCUGUAGAAGAAAUGAAACAUCAGUCUUGGCAUAUCACAAAAGAUCAAGAUCCUUUUGGCCUGGAGGAGUAAGCGGAGUCGACGGGGGAGCUGUAGCAGUCGACUCGCCGCCG